UACGGAGGAUGCAAGCGUUAUCCGGUAUGAUUGGGCGUAAAGCGUCCGCAGGUGGCUGUGUAAGUCUGCUGUUAAAGAGCAAAGCUUAACUUUGUAAAAGCAGUGGAAACUACACAGCUAGAGUGCGUUCGGGGCAGAGGGAAUUCCUGGUGUAGCGGUGAAAUGCGUAGAGAUCAGGAAGAACACCGGUGGCGAAGGCGCUCUGCUAGGCCGCAACUGACACUGAGGGACGAAAGCUAGGGGAGCGAAUGGG
rnacentral:rRNA from 1 species